CGACGAACUCUGGUAUUGAUUGGUGCUUGCAUCAUGAUUUACAUUUGAGUGAGUGGCGAACUGGUGAGUAACACGUGGGAAACCUGCCCAGAAGCGGGGGAUAACACCUGGAAACAGAUGCUAAUACCGCAUAACAACUUGGACCGCAUGGUCCGAGUUUGAAAGAUGGCUUCGGCUAUCACUUUUGGAUGGUCCCGCGGCGUAUUAGCUAGAUGGUGGGGUAACGGCUCACCAUGGCAAUGAUACGUAGCCGACCUGAGAGGGUAAUCGGCCACAUUGGGACUGAGACACGGCCCAAACUCCUACGGGAGGCAGCAGUAGGGAAUCUUCCACAAUGGACGAAAGUCUGAUGGAGCAACGCCGCGUGAGUGAAGAAGGGUUUCGGCUCGUAAAACUCUGUUGUUAAAGAAGAACAUAUCUGAGAGUAACUGUUCAGGUAUUGACGGUAUUUAACCAGAAAGCCACGGCUAACUACGUGCCAGCAGCCGCGGUAAUACGUAGGUGGCAAGCGUUGUCCGGAUUUAUUGGGCGUAAAGCGAGCGCAGGCGGUUUUUUAAGUCUGAUGUGAAAGCCUUCGGCUCAACCGAAGAAGUGCAUCGGAAACUGGGAAACUUGAGUGCAGAAGAGGACAGUGGAACUCCAUGUGUAGCGGUGAAAUGCGUAGAUAUAUGGAAGAACACCAGUGGCGAAGGCGGCUGUCUGGUCUGUAACUGACGCUGAGGCUCGAAAGUAUGGGUAGCAAACAGGAUUAGAUACCCUGGUAGUCCAUACCGUAAACGAUGAAUGCUAAGUGUUGGAGGGUUUCCGCCCUUCAGUGCUGCAGCUAACGCAUUAAGCAUUCCGCCUGGGGAGUACGGCCGCAAGGCUGAAACUCAAAGGAAUUGACGGGGGCCCGCACAAGCGGUGGAGCAUGUGGUUUAAUUCGAAGCUACGCGAAGAACCUUACCAGGUCUUGACAUACUAUGCAAAUCUAAGAGAUUAGACGUUCCCUUCGGGGACAUGGAUACAGGUGGUGCAUGGUUGUCGUCAGCUCGUGUCGUGAGAUGUUGGGUUAAGUCCCGCAACGAGCGCAACCCUUAUUAUCAGUUGCCAGCAUUAAGUUGGGCACUCUGGUGAGACUGCCGGUGACAAACCGGAGGAAGGUGGGGAUGACGUCAAAUCAUCAUGCCCCUUAUGACCUGGGCUACACACGUGCUACAAUGGAUGGUACAACGAGUUGCGAACUCGCGAGAGUAAGCUAAUCUCUUAAAGCCAUUCUCAGUUCGGAUUGUAGGCUGCAACUCGCCUACAUGAAGUCGGAAUCGCUAGUAAUCGCGGAUCAGCAUGCCGCGGUGAAUACGUUCCCGGGCCUUGUACACACCGCCCGUCACACCAUGAGAGUUUGUAACACCCAAAGUCGGUGGGGUAACCUUUUAGGAACCAGCCGCCUAAGGUGGGACAGA
rnacentral:rRNA from 2 species